AACAGAUGACUGAAAGACCUCUUCUCGAUCCAUCCAGCCCAAUACUGUACUGUCAAUGAGAACUGGCAGCUGCUUCCCAGGGCUCCAGAUUGCAUUAAGCUAUGAGUGCAUGCUGGCAAAGCAGGCUGGGCUCCAUAUUGUAUCAUUUCCAGCUAGACUCAACAUGGGGGCAACAGGAGUUGUAAUCCAACAUGGAGUGUGCCAGGCACUAUACUGUGACAGAAGGAAGGCAGGAGUAAGAGCAUCAUUUUGGUACCUGAAGCUUUGCAACUUACCGAAGGAUCUACCUGAUCGUUGGUUAUGCCACGGAGAACAAUUCUUAAUGGGUGUUUCAUGAA